rnacentral:rRNA from 1 species
AUUGAACGCUGGCGGCAGGCCUAACACAUGCAAGUCGAGCGGAGCGGCGGACGGGUGAGUAAUGCCUAGGACUCUGCCUGGUAGUGGGGGAUAACGUCCGGAAACGGGCGCUAAUACCGCAUACUAUUACAUUCGCCUAGGUCGGAUUAGCUAGUUGGUGGGGUACAGGCCUACCAUGGCGACGAUCCGUAACUGGUCUGAGAGGAUGAUCAGUCACACUGGAACUGAGACACGGUGCAGACUCCGACGGGAGGCAGCAGUGGGGAAUAUUGGACAAUGGGCGAAAGCCUGAUACAGCCAUGCCGCGUGUGUGAAGAAGGUCUUCGGAUUGUAAAGCACUUUAAGAUGGGAGGCGUUACCAACAGAAUAAGCACCGGCUAACUUCGUGCCAGCAGCCGCGGUAAUUA